rnacentral:rRNA from 1 species
ACUCAAAGGAAUUGACGGGGGCCCGCACAAGCGGUGGAGCAUGUUGCUUAAUUCGAGGCAACGCGAAGAACCUUACCCAGGUUUGACAUGCAGUGGACGCGCGGUGAAAGCCGCGUUCCCUUCGGGGCCGCUGCACAGAUGCUGCAUGGCUGUCGUCAGCUCGUGCCGUGAGGUGUUCGGUUAAGUCCGGCAACGAGCGCAACCCGUGCCGCCAGUUACCAUCGGAUCAUGCCGGGGACUCUGGCGGGACUGCCCGUGUCAAGCGGGAGGAAGGCGCGGAUGACGUCAAGUCCGUAUGGCUCUUACAUCUGGGGCCGCAAACGUGCUACAAUGGCGGGUACAAUGGGCAGCGAGGCCGCGAGGCCGAGCGAACCCCCAAAGCCCGCCCCAGUUCGGAUUGCAGCCUGCAACUCGGCUGCAUGAAGCCGGAAUCGCUAGUAAAGGGACAUCAGCUACGGUCCCUUGAAUACGUUCCCGGGCCUUGUACACACCGCCCGU